rnacentral:rRNA from 1 species
UACGUACGAGGCAAGCGUUAUCCGGAAUUACUGGGCGUAAAGGGCGCGUAGGCGGUCAGCACAAGUCAGUUGUGAAAUCUCCGGGCUUAACUCGGAAAGGUCAACUGAUACUGUGCGACUAGAGUGCAGAAGGGGCAACUGGAAUUCUCGGUGUAGCGGUGAAAUGCGUAGAUAUCGAGAGGAACACCUGCGGCGAAGGCGGGUUGCUGGGCUGACACUGACGCUGAUGCGCGAAAGCCAGGGGAGCGAACGGG